UCGCGAUAAUGUGAUUGGGAAUGUUAAACAAGAGUUAGGUAUUUUCCCUUUCACUGAAAACACGAGUUAGGUUGGAGCCUGGAGGAGAAGGAGGAAGAGAUCAACGAAUACCAAUGUCGUCUUCGUCUUCGUCUUCGUCCCGUUUGAUUCAAUUCACUCGGAUUCGUAUCUCCACUUUCCUUCCGAUCAAAUCAAUCUCAAUCAUGAUCGCAAAGGACCGGAGAUUUCUCCAACCCUAACCACUAACUUCAUUGCUUAGGUUCUAGUUUAUCCACCCAGUACUGAAAGUGAUGGGAAAAGAUUGCGAGAUUUCUUCAAGGCAUCAGAUACUGCAAUUUUAGAUAAUCCAGUGCAGCCAUUUGCCACUGAUGAAGAGAUCGACUCUGCAAUUGAGUGAAUGAGAAAUCAAAUUUGAGGAGUGUGCAAGCAGCAAAUUGGUUGGUGAAUUAACAAGCGAAUUAUCAUUGUUCAAAUGUGUCCUCCGAAGUAAAUGUAUGACUAAGGUGUAGCAACCGGAGGUUAGUUCAACACUUUUUAAAUUAUCGCUUGUUUGAUUUAUUUGUUGCUCGAGUAUGAUUGUAAAGUCCUCUACGAGGAUCAUAUUGGUAAAUGUAUUUUCCAUAGCAAAGCUAUUGAUUGGAUAGAGAAUUGUGUUAUUGAGAACCCAAUGGGUUUCUACAUAUAGGCGAUUUUUAUAA